rnacentral:rRNA from 1 species
UGUUAUACUUUAGUUUAGAAGAUUUGCGGCUAGAGGGAAAAGUUAUGAGCUUUGAAUUCAAAGGACUUGGCGGUGUCUUAGUCGCGUUAGGGGAACCUGUCUUAGAAUCGGUAAACCUCGUUGUAUCUUACUUUUUCUUGAUUUAUCAGUUUGCAUACCGCCAUUAUCAGGUUCCUAUCAAAGAAGCUACUGUAAUGGUUUUAUAAGGAAUAGAGCACUUAAAUUAGGUCAACGUACAGCUUAUGAAAAAGCUAAAGGUGGGUUACAAUAUUAUAGAUAUACACGGAAGUAACUUUGUAAAAAGUACUGUAAGGUGGACUUAAUAGUAAUGGGAUUUUAAUAAGGUUUCAUGAGUAUCGCUCUAGGACAU